ACUCGGCAGAAUGCCCAAGGCGCAGUGAAAGAAGAAAGAAAGAACGAAAGAGAACAGGUACAAAUAUAAUAGUAAUAGAUCCAGGAACAAUUAAGAGUAAGAGGCAUUGAAUAGACGAGUCUUAUGGUAACGUUUAAAAAUCUACACUUAUCUAUUU